GGGACACGUGGUAUCCUGUCUGAAUAUGGGGGGACCAUCCUCCAAGGCUAAAUACUCCUGACUGACCGAUAGUGAACCAGUACCGUGAGGGAAAGGCGAAAAGAACCCCGGCGAGGGGAGUGAAAAAGAACCUGAAACCGUGUACGUACAAGCAGUGGGAGCCUCUUAAUGGGGUGACUGCGUACCUUUUGUAUAAUGGGUCAGCGACUUAUAUUCUGUAGCAAGGUUAACCGAAUAGGGGAGCCGAAGGGAAACCGAGUCUUAACUGGGCGUUAAGUUGCAGGGUAUAGACCCGAAACCCGGUGAUCUAGCCAUGGGCAGGUUGAAGGUUGGGUAACACUAACUGGAGGACCGAACCGACUAAUGUUGAAAAAUUAGCGGAUGACUUGUGGCUGGGGGUGAAAGGCCAAUCAAACCGGGAGAUAGCUGGUUCUCCCCGAAAGCUAUUUAGGUAGCGCCUCGUGAAUUCAUCUCCGGGGGUAGAGCACUGUUUCGGCAAGGGGGUCAUCCCGACUUACCAACCCGAUGCAAACUGCGAAUACCGGAGAAUGUUAUCACGGGAGACACACGGCGGGUGCUAACGUCCGUCGUGAAGAGGGAAACAACCCAGACCGCCAGCUAAGGUCCCAAAGUCAUGGUUAAGUGGGAAACGAUGUGGGAAGGCCCAGACAGCCAGGAUGUUGGCUUAGAAGCAGCCAUCAUUUAAAGAAAGCGUAAUAGCUCACUGGUCGAGUCGGCCUGCGCGGAAGAUGUAACGGGGCUAAACCAUGCACCGAAGCUGCGGCAGCGACACUAUGUGUUGUUGGGUAGGGGAGCGUUCUGUAAGCCUGUGAAGGUGUACUGUGAGGUAUGCUGGAGGUAUCAGAAGUGCGAAUGCUGACAUAAGUAACGAUAAAGCGGGUGAAAAGCCCGCUCGCCGGAAGACCAAGGGUUCCUGUCCAACGUUAAUCGGGGCAGGGUGAGUCGACCCCUAAGGCGAGGCCGAAAGGCGUAGUCGAUGGGAAACAGGUUAAUAUUCCUGUACUUGGUGUUACUGCGAAGGGGGGACGGAGAAGGCUAUGUUGGCCGGGCGACGGUUGUCCCGGUUUAAGCGUGUAGGCUGGUUUUCCAGGCAAAUCCGGAAAAUCAAGGCUGAGGCGUGAUGACGAGGCACUAC
rnacentral:rRNA from 1 species